rnacentral:tRNA from 5 species
CAAGAUAUAGCUUAAAUAAAGCACCUAGUUUACACCUAGAAGAUUUCACUAUACCACGAAUAUCUUGA